UGUUUUAGUCUUUUAGCAGACACUCUUAACCAGAGUGACUUACAGUAGUGAGUACAUACAUUUUCGUACUCCCUCCAAACCCUUUCUCCCCCUCUGAUCUAUGACUAUGCUGGUUGGCUCUCUCUUUUUAGUCCCCCUCCUACCCUUCCUCCCUCCUACCCUUUGUCCCCUCUGAUCUAUGACUAUGCUGGUUGGCUCUCUCCUUUUGGUCUCCCUCCUACCCUUCCUCCCUCCCCCUCUGAUCUAUGACUAUGCUGGUUAUCUCCUUUUAGUCUCCCUCCUACCCUUCCCCCUUCCUACCCUUUCUCCCCAUCUGAUCUAUGAAUAUGCUGGCUCUCUCCUUUUAGUCUCCCACCUACCCUUCCUCCCUCUCCCUCUGAUCUAUGACUAUGCUGGUUAUCUCCUUUUAGUCCCCCUCCUACCCUUCCCCCCUCCUACCCUUUCUCCCCUGCUGAUCUAUGACUAUGCUGGCUCUCUCCUUUUGGUCUCCCUUCUACCCUUCCUCCCUCCCCCUCUGAUCUAUGACUAUGCUGGUUAUCUCCUUUUAGUCUCCCUCCUACCCUUCCUCCCUCCUACCCUUUCUCCCCCUCUGAUCUAUGAAUAUGCUAGCUCUCUUCUUUUAGUCUUUCUCCUACCCUUCCUCCCUCGUACCUUUUCUCCACAUCUUCCCACUAACCUGGCCAGAGCUUUAAUAUGUCGAGAAGACAGAGAAAACUCACAGGGCUGCAUCCCAAAUUGCACCCUAUUCCCUUUAUAGUAUACUACUCAGAGAGGCUGAGGACAGUCUAUAAGCAGGGUGUAUGGCCUCCCUCUGGCAUCAGCCUGAGAGCCACAGACAGACAUGCAGGAGAACUGAUCACCUAAAUAAAGAUGGCCAAUUUACAGUUCACUCUCAAAUAAUAACCUAAUAAUACCGCAUGUGUCAUCUUGAGGAACGUGUCAAGAUUCACAAGGUCUCUUCAACACAGGCAGGGAAUUUGAAAAAGUUAGUGGUGCUUCAACAACGAUAACAGCUCCCCUCUUAGGAUGUAUGU
rnacentral:lncRNA from 1 species